CCCUAGACGGUCAUGCUUCGUCGAUUCGACGACGCAUGGUCACAUUUGUUCGAUUAUUCCAGUAUUUUUUUGAUUCUUUUUCCUCGUUUUUCGUACAGCUGUUGUCGAUGCUUAGACGCAGCUGUGUGCAAACGUACAAAUCCGUCGGUCGCAUAAAAUUGGCCUAGAAAAUGAAUAGAGGCAAUGGUUUAGACGAGAUUGCGAUUGCAAACCUUCUUGAAGAGGACGAAUCCGAUGUGGAUAUUGAAGAUUCUGGUGAAGAUCAUCCAAUUUUGGGCGAAUUAGUUGAGGAACCAAGUUCUUCAGAAGACUCUUCAGAUGACGAAAACACACCAUUAAAUGUGUUGUUUAAUAAGUCCAGUAUUAUUACUUUUUCUGAAACUGGAUGACGAUGACGAAAACACACCAUUAAAUGUGUUGUUUAAUAAGUCCAGUAUUAUUACUUUUUCUGAAACUGGUCUUCGCGGAAAGGAUCGUCAUAAGUGGGCAACUCAAAAGUCAAAAUCCCAUAAAUACGGGCAAUCCAUUAUCCAUCAACGUCGCGGACCGACAAGAAACUGUAAAAGCUUAAAGGAUCCACUGGAUAUAUUUCAGCACUUUAUAACGCCGGAAAUAGUGGAAGAAAUAGUUAUGUGGACAAACGCUGAAAUUCAACAUAGGCAGCACGACGGCAACGACAUUUUGCAAACAAAAUCAACAUCCUCUACAGAAAUUUAUGCUGUUAUUGGUAUUCUAACACUCACAGCUGCUAUGAAAGAUAAUCACCUUACCUGUGAUGAGUUGUUUAAUACAGCAUCCUGCGGUUCAAAAUACCUUUCAACUAUGACAAAAUCAAGGUUCAAAUUUUUGAUGUCUUGCUUACGAUUUGAUGACAAAUCUAUUAGGAUUCAGCUUAUCCACGACAAGUUUGCCCCUAUCAGAAAAGUUUGGGAAAUGUUUAUUCAAAAGUGUCGUGAUAAUUAUACUCCUGGUCCAUAUCUCACCAUUGACGAGCAGCUAUUAGCUUUUAGAGGUCGAUGUGGAUUUAAAAUGUACAUUCCGAAUAAGCCAGCCAAAUACGGCUUAAAACUUGUAAUGAUGUGCGACAGUGGAACUAAAUAUAUGGUUGAUGCCAAACCUUACUUAGGUAAAGGAUCGACCGAUUCCAAUGCUCCGAUAGCUGAAAGCUAUGUUAAAGAUUUAACUAAAACUAUACAUGGUACAAACCGCAAUGUAACAAUGGAUAAUUGGUUUACAUCAGUUGCAUUAGCCAAAUCUUUACUGAAGAGCCCAUAUAAAUUAACACUUGUAGGAACCCUACGCUCAAAUAAAAGAGAGAUACCACCAGAGUUGAAAAACGACAAAAGGCGCAAAGUCGGUACUUCAAUGUUCGUUUACGAUAAUGAACUGACUUUAUUGUCUUAUAAGCCGAAACCACAUAAAGUCAUUUUCUUGUUGUCGUCAUGUAAUGAAAAUGGAACUAUAAAUGACGACACUAAAAAGCCCCAUAUGGUCGAGUUCUACAAUUCCACUAAGGGGGGUGUAGACACCUUUGACCAAAUGUGUAGCGUCAUGAGCUGCGCUCGAAAAACCAACCGCUGGCCAAUGGCCACCUUUUUUGGAAUGUUAAAUAUGGCUUUUAUUUACAGUUUUGUUAUUUAUUCCCAUAACAUGUUAGAGUCGGGUAGUAAACCACUAAGCCGUAGAAAUUAUAUGAAAAGCCUACACUCAAGCCUCAUUCAAAAACAGUUAAUGAAUAGGCUAAGCCGAGUUACAUUGCCCAAUUUAGCUCGGGAAAAUAUCUCAAGCGGC